AGAGUUGAAUGAAGCCUGCAGAGAGGUCUCUAGGGAACAGUGCAUGGAGUCUCUUCACCCAGUCAUUCACUUCCUCCUCUACAUACUUGCCUACUCUUGUGUCUAUUCCUGUCUGUAUUUGUUGGUUUAUUUUAUCAACAUCUUUAGAGAGGAUUAGGCAGCCAGAUGGACAAAACCCUCUUAGGGUACAGAAAACCCUACCCACUGCCCAUGGGCCUUCAAGACAUGUCUUGCAUCGACCAGGGCAGGACUGGCCUAGGUGGAACUGUUUCUGCCUGUGCUCGUCCUCUUUGCCCUAUACCUGGUCAGUUCUUCCUGGCGGACCUGUAGAAAGACCCUUAUCACCUGGAAUGGCACCCCAACAGACCUGCAGUGACCCAUCAACUCAGUCAGUGUGGGCAUUGCAGAGCCUACAAAUGAGGUGUGGAGGUCAGUGCAGCUGCACGGGACAGGAACAACGUGAAGUUCUGGUCCAGGGUCCACUCGGAAGCUGCGCCUGUCCAGUGGAUGAAGGACUCAUCUAGUGUUUCUUGUUCCUGACUCUCUAGUUUCUCAUCUUGCUUUGUUCCAGCUCUUCCUGAUGUUGCUGAUUAGAACCCAGCGCUCUCCGGGAAGCACAAAAAUUGGAUCAAUCUGUAAAGCAAAGAGGAGAUGAAGGGCAGUCUCUGGGAAUGAAUAUGUAAAGCCCCUGCUCUCCAAAGACUCCUUUUGUGUAACUCAGCUUUCAACAGUCCGACGUCCAAAGAAGGCAGACAUGCCACCCUGACAACUUAGAUAAAAAUUUCAACAUUUUCUUUUUGUUGUUGUUAAAUUUUAAAAAACGGUUUGAGUGCCUUGGGAAAGAAACUAUUACUUUUCAUGUAGUAAGUACUAUUAGUUUGGUAGGUGUUUCAGAGAUCUCGUGGUUGAGAUAAGAUGUGUUGAGGUUGGGAAGUACUUGCAAAUCUUUCUAACCUUCACGGCUCUGGUUAAGAAAAUCGUAAAAUCAGCAGGUCUAUGAAUUAGAGAUAUUUGGAAAUGUAAAUAAGAAAUAAACUCCAGCCUGAUAUUUUAUAGUA